rnacentral:rRNA from 1 species
UACGUAGGGUGCGAGCGUUGUCCGGAAUUAUUGGGCGUAAAGGGCUCGUAGGCGGUCUGUUGCGUCGGGAGUGAAAACUCAGGGCUUAACCCAGAGCCUGCAUCCAAAACUAGCAGGCUAGAGUUCUGGAGGGGAUAGCGGAAUUCCUGGUGUAGCGGUGAAAUGCGUAGAUAUCAGGAGGAACACCGGUGGCGAAGGCGGCUAUCUGGACAGAAACUGACGCUGAGGCGCGAAAGCUAGGGGAGCAAACAGG